GCACCCGUCGCUGAGUGGCUGAGCAUCUGCUUGGCGUGCAGAAGGUCCUGGUUCAAGAUCCAAGCGUCUGCA